rnacentral:rRNA from 1 species
ACUCCUACGGGAGGCAGCAGUGGGGAAUAUUGCACAAUGGGGGAAACCCUGAUGCAGCCAUGCCGCGUGUGUGAAGAAGGCCUUCGGGUUGUAAAGCACUUUCAGUAGGGAGGAAGGUAGUNUAGUUAACACCUGCAUNUUNUGUNUCCUACAGAAGAAGCACCGGCUAACUCCGUGCCAGCAGCCGCGGUAAUACGGAGGGUGCGAGCGUUAAUCGGAAUUACUGGGCGUAAAGCGCAUGCAGGCGGCCUGUUAAGUCAGAUGUGAAAGCCCGGGGCUUAACCUCGGAAUUGCAUUUG